rnacentral:rRNA from 1 species
AUGCCGAAGCAUAUGCCGAAAGUAGGCGUCGCCGACGAGGGUUCCAAGACCGCCGAGCAGAGCUCGGCUGAGGACACCCGUGCGUCGGACGCGCUCGCGCUGCGAGGCAGGCCGGGAGGUGAGCUGGGUGUGCCACGCUCCGUGCGAGACAUGGGCAUGUCCAGUACCUCCUUCCCUCUCCUCACGCGGACCAACUACCCCAGUUGGUCCGUCCUGAUGAAAGUCAUCAUAGAGGCGCGGCAUAUGUGGAAAGCCGUGGAAACCGACGAUGUCGAGUACGAGGAGGACCGGCUGGCGAUGGAGGCGAUCUUGCGCUCCAUCCCAGAGGAGAUGGUGCCCACCCUUGGCGCCAAGGAGACGGCCAAGGAAGCAUGGGACACCAUCAAGACUCUGCGCAUCGGCAUGGAGCGCGUACGGGAGUCAAAGGCCCAGACCAUGCGCCUCCAGUACAAGGAAAUCCGGUUGAAGGCCGGUGAACAAGUCGACGACUUUGCUUUGUGGCUGCAAGGUCUCGUCAACGAGCUCGCAACGCUCGGAGAUCACAUCGACAACAAGAUGGUGAUUCUCAAGUUUCUCCGCGUCGUCUCCAGGCAGUACAAGCAACUGGCCUGGUCCAUCGAGAGCUUGGUGGAUCUCUCCACCAUGAUAAUCGAGGAGCUGGUAGGGGACUCAAGGUCGUCGAGGAGAGCAGCGACGAAGCCGACAACCAUGCUGGCGGGAAACUACUGCUCACCAGGGAGCAUUGGGACGCACGCCUUCAGCAGCGCGGCCAUGACGGCUCUUCCGGCAGUGGGGGAGGGGCCCCCACGGGAAGCAGAGGUCGCGGUAGAGGCGGAGGUCGCACCCAGAGCGGUGGCGGCAACCGCGGUCGCAAGCCAAGCCGGGCAGGGCGAGGCGCUGGCAACGGUGGCAAGUGCCGCUACUGCGACAUGUCGGGUCACUGGAUCCGGGAUUGCUACAGGAGGAAAGCCGAUGAGGCAGCCGCGGCAACGGCAAACCUCGUCCAGGCUGAUGUGGACGGCGGGCCGGCAAUGA